UACGGGGGGGGUAAGCGUUGUUCGGAAUUACUGGGCGUAAAGGGCUCGUAGGCGGCCAACUAAGUCGGACGUGAAAUCCCUCAGCUUAACUGGGGAACUGCGUCCGAUACUGGAUGGCUUGGAUUUGGGAGAGGGAUGCGGAAUUCCAGGUGUAGCGGUGAAAUGCGUAGAUAUCUGGAGGAACACCGGUGGCGAAGGCGGCAUCCUGGACCAACAUUGACGCUGAGGAGCGAAAGCCAGGGGAGCAAACGGG
rnacentral:rRNA from 1 species